GCGGGGCUCCAGGCCGGCGGGCAGGGGCCAAACUUUCCCGGCGCGCGGAGGAGAAGAGACUGGGGAGGGAGGCAGAGCCGAGGGGAACGGCGUCGGGAGCGGCCGGAUGGAGGAACUUGGGCGCGGCGCGCGAGAAGUGGGACCCGGGUGCGGGGUCCCCGGGAGCGGGGCCAGGCCCUCCCUGGGCUCGGGAGGCGCUUGGGAAGUUCUGUCCCCGCUGCCUGCGCGUGGGGAGGACCGGGGCCCUUUUCCGCCGGAGCGCGGGGCCGCGGCGCUCACCUGCGCCUUCUCCGGGAGCCCCCACCCGGCAGCAUCCCGAAGGGAAGGUCGGGCCCGGUGGGCGCGCUGCGGAGCGGAGCCUGGACUGGGGUCCCGCGCGGCGCCGGCCCUGCGGAGCGGAGCGGAGCGGGAGGGGCAGAGGUGCUCGCCGGCGGGACUGGGAGGGAGAAGGACCUGCUCGACCUUGGACGCGGAGGUCAUUUUCCCAGCUCCGGGGUCUGGCCUCGCUAGCCACCCCCCCCAAAUUCCGGAGCCCCUUUCUUUCUGUUUCCUUCCUUCCCCUUUGGGCGCUUUUUUUUGCUCCCGCGGCCGGAUGAACUUGGGGCGCUGUCCCUUCGGCUCCCCGAGCCGCAUCCUGUCUUGGUGGCUGCUGCUGGCCGGGAGGAGGCUGAUGAAUACAGAGCCGUGGAACAGGUCGUGCCGGAGAUGGAAACAGGAAAGCCUGUUGUUUUGUCGUCCCAGAUACUUAGGAACUUCAAGCAGUCGUCCCAGAUAUAAAAGGCAUUUAAACUUCCCUCUUAGAACUGCUUUUGUGGCAUCCCAUAAGUUUUGAACCCAUUAAAAGAGCCAGUAAAUCCUGUGGAAAAUGGCCUUCAGUGAUCUUACAUCGAGGACUGUGCAUCUUUAUGAUAAUUGGAUCAAAGAUGCUGAACCUGAAAGUCACGUACAGGACUUAAGGUGUGUGCUGAAAAUAUUAAAUUACGGGAAAAAAUUAUUUAUUUUAAAAUUAUUUUAUUCUGCUUCCUGAGCCAGCCCAGCAUGCUUUUCCUGGCUUGUUUUCUUUCUACUGCUACCAGAGGAAGAACAGAGAAAUGAUGUCAUUUGAUUUUUCCCCCUCCUGAGUCAAUGAAAGAAUAAAAUAAAAUAUAUCUCUCAUUCAGCAAUUCUUUUACUGACAUUUAAGCUCGUUUCUAACCAUAUGUGUGAUGACUGUUAAUAAUAGAAUCAUUUGAAAUUGUUUAUAAAGCAAAAGAAAAAACAAAAGUCAACUAAACUCCCACCAUGCAAAGGUGGUGAUGUAACAUCCUUCCAGAGGUCUUCUUUUGGUAUUUUGUUUUUCUUUCCUUUUUUUUUUUUUUUUUUUUUUGAGACAGGGUCUUACUCUGUUGCCCAGGCUGGAGUGCAAUGGCAUGAUCUCCGGUUCACUGCAACCUCCACCUCCCGGGUUCAGGCUCUUCUCGUGCCUCAGUCUCCCAGAUAGCUGUGAUUACAGACGUGUGCCACUAUGCCUAGCUAAUUUUUGUAUUUUUCACAGAGACAGGGUUUCACCAUGUUGGCCAGGCUGGUCUCAAACUCCUGACCUCAAGCGAUCACCUGCCUUAGCCUCCCAAAGUGCUGGGAUUACAGGUGUGAGCCAUGGUGCCUGGCCAGUAUUGUUUUCAUUAGUUUUUUAUUUCAUUAGCAAUAACAACUAGACAUAGUAAUAUGAAUCUCAUCUUGAACUGUAGUUCCCAUAAUUCCCACAUGUCGUGGGAGGGACCCAGUGGGAGGUAACUGAAUCAUGGGCGCAGUUCCCCCAUGCUCUUCUCAUGAUUGUGAGUUCUCACAAGAUCUGAUGGUUUUUUAAGCAUCUGGCAUUUCCCCUGCUGGCACUCAUUCUCUCUCCUGCUGCCCAGUGAAGAGGUGCCUUAUGUCAUGAUUGUAAGUUUCCUGAGGCCUCCCCAGCAAAUUUAAAUCUCUUUGCUUUAUAAAUUACCCAAUCUUGGGUAUUUCUUCAUAGCAGUGUGAGAAUGGACUAAUACAGUAAAUUGGUAUCUCAGAAUGGGGCGCUACUAUAAGGAUACCCGAAAAUGUGGAAGUGACUUUGAAACGGGCUAAAGGCAGAGGUUGGAGCAGUUUGGAGGGGUGAGAAGAAGACAGGAAAAUAUGGGAAAGUUUGGCCGGGCACCGUGACUCAUGCCUGUAAUCCCAGCACUUUGGGAGGCCGAGGCGGGUGAAUCACCUGAGGUCGGGAGUUCGCAUCCAGCCUGACCAACAUAGAGAAACCCCGUCUCUACUGAAAAAUACAAAAUUAACUGGGCGUGGUGGCGCGUGCCUGUAAUCCCAGCUACUGGGGAGACUUAGGCAGGAGAAUCACUUGAACCCGGGAGGCAGAGGUUGCAGUGAGCCGAGAUCGUGCCGUUGUACUCCAGCCUGGGCAACAAGAACGAAACUCCAUCUAAAAAAAAAAAAAAAAAAAAGGGAAAGUUUGGAACUUACUAGAGACUUGUUGAAUAACUUUGACCACAAUGCUGAUAGUGAUAUGGACAAUGAAGGUCAGGCUGAGGUGGUCUCAGAUGGAGAUGAGGAAUUUAUUGGGAACUGGAAUAAAUAACACUAUGCUUUAGAAAAAAGACUGGCAGCAUUUUGCCCCUGCCCUAGAGAUCUGUGAAACUUUUAACUUGAGAGAGAUAAUUUAGGGUAUCUGGCAGAAGAAAUUUCUAAGUGGCAAAGCAUUCAAGAGGAAGGACCAUAAAAGUUUGGAAAAUUUGCAGCCUGAUGAUGCGAUAGAAAAGAAAAUACAAUUUUCUAGGGUGAAAUUCAAGCCUGCUGCAGAAAUUUGCAUAAGUAGCAGGAGCUGAAUGUUAGUCACCAAGACAAUGGGGAAAAUGUCUCCAGAGUAUGUCAGAGACCUUGGCAGCAGCCCCUCCUGUCACAGACCUGGAGGCCUAGGAGGAAAACAUGGUUUUUGGGGCUGGGCCCAGGGCUCCCUGCUGUGUGCAGCCUAGGGACUUCAUGCCCUGCAUUCCAGCUGCUCCUGGAAUGGCUAAAAAGGGCCAAGGUGCAGCUUGGGCCAUGGCUUCAGAGGGUGCAAGCCCCAAGCUUUGGCAGCUUCUACAUGGUGUUGAGCCUGUGAAUGCACAGAAGUCAAGAAUUGAGGUUUGGGAACCUCUACCUAGAUUUCAGAGGAUGUAUUGAAACUCCUGGAUGUCCAGGCCGAAGUUUGCUGCAGAGGUAGAGCCCUCAUGGAGAGCCUCUACUAGGUCAAUGUGGAAGAGAAAUGUGGGGUCAGACCCCAAACACAGAGUCCCCACUUGGGCAGUGCCUAGUGGAGCUGUGAGAAGAGGGCCACCAUCCUCCAGACCCCAAAAUGCUAGAUCCAUUGACAGCUUGCAUUGUGCACCUGGAGAAGCCACAGACAGUCAGUUCCAGCCAGUGAAAGCAGCAGGAAAGGGGGCUGUACCCUGCAAAGCCACAGAGGCAGAGCUGCCCAAGGCCAUGGGAGCCCACCUCUUGCACCAGUAUGACCUAGAUGUGAGACGUGGAGUCAAAGGUGAUCAUUGUGGAGCAUUGAGAUUUAAUGACUGCCCUACUGGAUUUUGGACUUGCAUGAAGCCUGUAGCUCCUUUGUUUUGGCCAAUUUCUGCCAUUUGGAAUGGGUAUAUUUAUGCAGUGCCUGUAUCCCCAUUGUAUCUGGGAAAUAACUAACUUGCUUUUGAUUUUACAGGCUUAUAGGCAGAAGGGACUUGCCUUGUCUCAGAUGAGACUUUGGAUUUGGACUUUGAGUUAAAGCUGGAAUGCAUUAAGACUUUUGGGGACUGUUGGGAAGGCAUGAUUGUGUUUUGAAAUGUGAGGACAUGAGAUUUGGGAGGGCCCAGGGACAGAAUGAUAUGGUUUGACUGUGUCCCCACCCAAAUUUCAUCUUGAAUUAUAGUUCCCAUAAUCCCCACAUGUUAUGGAGGGACCUGGUGGGAGAUAAUUGAAUCAUGGGUACAGUUUCCCUGUGCUGUUCUCAUGAUUGUUUCUCACAAGAGCUGAUGGUUUUAUAAUUGUCUGGCAUUUCCCCGGCUGGCACUCAUUCUCUCUCCUGCCACUUCAUGAAGAGGUGCCUUCUGCUGUGAUUGUAAGUUUCCUGACGUCUCCCAGGCCAUGCAGAACUGUGAGUCAAUUAAACCUCUUUCCUUGAUAAAUUACCCAGUCUCGGGUAUUUCUUCAUAGCAGUGCAAGAGUGGACUAAUACAAUGAUGUUCAUGUAUUUAAGGUUUGCACUACCCACUUAUAGAAGAAAUCUAUCAAAGUUUGAUCAGUUCUAAUUUUUUCCCUUGGUCCCUGGUUCUGUGACAACUUUUAUUUAUGGAGACUUCCUUUGUGACAUACAGACCCAUAGCAAGCCUUCCUUGUGGUGGUUUUAAUUGCACAAAGCAACGAGACAUCCUAGAAAGCUUGCCAUUGUUAAAAGCAAGGAGGGGAACCAAUAGAAGCAGUAAAAGAUUUCAGUGAUGUGUACCUGGGUAGCUGAUUUCAAAGUUUUUCCUGAUUUAGAACUGUGACAAAUCUUAAUAUGAGAAAAUACUUCCAAAAUUGUAGAACUUUAUGUUUUGAAAAGUGUCUGUCAUCAAACUUUUGUUUAAUUUCUAUUUUGUGCAUGACACCUUGUUAAAAUUAUUCUGCUGAGAGCAUCAGAGACGUCCUUUUGUUAAAUGUAGUGGCAUUUUUCUGUCCCCAUUUUAUUUCCCCUUUCUGCCACACUUAAUGCUUUGACUCCUUCCGAAAAUCCACUCUUCCCUGGCUUCAGGAUAUCUCACUUUUAUGGUUUUCCCUCUACUUCUCUAGCUGUUCCUUUUUGGUUUUUAUGUUUUUUCCUUCAGUAAUUCCUUCUGUGAAUGCUGAGUCCUAAGGAUCCUGACUUCAGCACUUACUCUCCUUACCGUACCCACUUAGCCUAAGCCAAUCUCACUGCUUUUAUUGUUCAUCAUUUAUGUGAUGGCAACCCUCAAUCUUACAUCUCUGGCACAGAUCUCUCUCCUAAUUCUAGAUCCAUAUAUCCAGCUGCUUAUGAAAGACUUCAUAUGAAUGUUUUAAAGGCACUCUAAGUGUAAGAUGUUUUAAAACAUAAGACACCUCUGCUUGACCAAUAUUGCUCCUAAUCCUGUGUUCCCAAUCUAAGUGAAUUUAAAGAUCUGAGUAUUUUUCUUUUAAAAAUUUUUUUUAAUUUUUGUGGGUAAAUAGUAGGUGUAUAUAUUUAUGGAAUACGUAAGAUGUUUUGAUACAGGCAUGCAAUGUGUAAUAAUUAUAUCAUGUAAAAUGGGGUAUCCAUCCCCUCAAGCAUUUAUCCUUUGGGUUACAAAUAAUCCAAUUAUAUUUUAAAACAUACAUUUAAAUUAUUAUUGACUAUAAGUCACCCUGUCGUGCCACCAAAUACUAGGUCUUAUUCAUUCUAUUUUCUUUGUACCCAUUAGCUAUUCCCACCUCCCCCCCAAACCCCCUAGUACCCUUCCUAGCCUCUGGCAACCACCCUUCUACUCUAUCUCCAUGGGCUUAAUUGUUUUGAUUCUUACAUCCCACAUAUAAGUGAGAAAUCUGAAUAUUUGUCUUAACAUUUACCUAUUUCCAUUCCCUGUGUUUAACCAAUUAUAAAUUUUUAUAUUUUCUUCUUCCUUACUGUAUUUCAAAAUAAUCUCCUAUUUAUCUUUCACUAUCACUACCUGUUUUUAAAAUUUUUAUUUUAGAUUCAGGUGGUACACGUGCAAGUUUAUAACUAGGCUAUAUUGUGUGAUGCUGAGGUUUGGGCUUCUAGUGAUUGCAUCAUGAAUAUAGUGAACAUAGUACUUAAAAGUAUGUUUUUCAGCCCUUGUCCCCUUCCUUCCCUCCCACAUUUUGGAUUCUUCAGUCUGUUGUUCCCAUCUAUACCUGCAUGUACCCAAGACUUAGCUCCCACUUAUAAGUGAGAACAUGUAGUAUUUGGUUUUGCGUUUCUGUGUUCAUUUGCUUAGGAUAAUGGUCUCCAACUACGUUCAUGUUGCUGCAAAGGAUAUGAUUUUGUUCUUUUUAAUGACUGCAUAGUACUCCACAGUAUAUAUGUACCACAUUUUCUUUAUCCAAUCCCCCAUUAAUGGGCACCUAGGUUGAUUACAUGUCUUUGCUGCUAUGAAUAGUCCUGCAGUGAACAUGCAAGUGUAUGUAUAUUUUUGGCAUUUUCCUUUCAGUAUGUACCUAAUAGUGGAAUUGCUGGGUUGAAUAAUAGUUCUAUUUGCAGUUUUUUGAGAAAUCUCCAAACUGCUUUCCACAAUGGCUGAACUAAUUUGCAUUCCCACCAACAGUGUAUAAGCAUUCCCUUUUCUCCACAGCCUCAACAACUUCUGUAAUUAUUUGACUUUUUAAUGUUUGUUGGCCGCUUGUAUGUCUUCUUUUGUGAAGUGUCUGUUCAUGCUCUUUGCCCACUUUUUAAUGAAGUUAUUUAUUUUUUCUUGUUGAUUUAAGUUUCUUGUGGAUUCUGGAUAUUAGUCCUGUUGGAUGCAUAGUUUGUGUUUUCUCCCAGUCCAUAGGUUGUCUGUUUACUCUGUUAGUUUCUUUUGCUGUGCAAAAGCUCUUUAGUUUAAUUAGAUCUUAAUUGUUGAUUUUUAUUUGUGUUGCAAUUGCUUUUGAGGACUUGGUCAUAAAGCCUUUGCCAAGGCCAGUGUCCAGAAGAGUGUUUCCUAGGUUUUCUCCUGGGAUUUUUAUAGUUUUAGGUCUUGCAUUUAAGUCUUUAAUCCAUCUUAAGUUAAUUUUUGUAUAUGGUGGUAGGUAGUGGUCCAGUUUCAGUCUUCUGCAUAUGAUUAGCCAGUUUUCCUAGCACCAUCUAUUGAAUAGGGAGUCCUUUCCCCAUUGCUUAUUUUCAUUGACUUUGUUGAAUAUCAGUUGGUUUUAGGUAUGCUCCUUUAUUUCUGGGUUUUCUGUUCAGUUCCAUUGGCCAAUGUGUCUAUUUUUAUAUCAAUACCAUGCUGUUUUGGUUGCUGUAGCCGUGUAGUAUAGCUUGAAGUAAGAUAAUGUGAUGCCUCCAGCUUUGUUCUUUUUGCUUAAGAUUGCUUUGGCUAUUUGGGCUCAUUUUUGGUUUUCUAUGAAUUUGAGAAUAGUUUUUUCUAAUUUUGUAAAAAAUAACAUUGGUAAUUUGAUAGGAAUAGCAUUGAAUCUUUAGAUUGUUUUGAACAGUAUGGACAUCUAACAAUGUUGAUUUUUCUAAUCCAUGAGCAUAGAAUGUUUUUCCAUUUGUAUUUUCCAUGAUUUCUUUCAGCAGUGUUUUGUAAUGCUCCUUGUAGAGAUCUUUUACCUCCUUGGUUAGAUGUAUUCCUAUGUGUUUUAUUUUUAGUGCGUGUGGUUAUUGUAAAUAGGAUUGCAUUCUUGAUUUGGCUGUCAGCUUGAGGGUUGAAGAGCUGUUCCAGCUCUUAAGGAUAAUGCUUUGGUGCAUAGAAAUGCUACUGAUUUUCAUACAUUGAUUUUGUAUCCUGUAACUUUACUGAAUUCAUUUAUCAAAUAUAAGAGUUUUGGCUGGGUGUGGUGGCUCACGCCUGUAAUCCCAGCACUUUGGGAGGCCAAGGUGGGCAGAUCACGAGGUCAGGAGUUUGAGACCAGCCUGGCCAACAAGGUGAAACCCCGUCUCUACUAAAAAUACAAAAAUUAGCUGGGCAUGGUGGCGGGCACCUGUAAUCCCAGCUCCUCAGGAGACUGAGGCAGGAGAUUCGCUUGAACCCAGGAGGCAGAGGUUGCAGUGAACCAAGAUCAUGCCAUUGCAUUCCAGCCUGGGCGACAAGAGCAAGACUCCGUCUCAAAAAAAAAAAAAAAAAAAGAGUUUUAUGGUGGAGUUGGUAGGUUUUUCUAGGUAGAAGAUCAUAUCAUCAGCAAGCAGGGAUAAUUUUACUUCCUCUUUUCCAAUUUGGAUGCCUUUUAUUUCUUUCUCUUGCCUGAUUGCUCUGGCUAGGACUUCUAGUACUAUGUUGAAUAGGAGUGGGCAUCCUUGUCUUGUUGCAGCUCUUAAAGAUAAUACUUCCAGCGUUUGCCCAUUAGGUAUGAUGUUGGCUGUGGGUUUUUCAUAGAUGGCCCUUAUUAUUUGAGGUAUGUUCCUUUAAUGUCUAGUUUGUUGAGGGUUUUUAUCAUGAAUAGAUGUUAGAUUUUAUUGAAAACUUUUUCUGCAUCUAUUGGGAUAAUCAUAUGGUUUUUGUUUUUAAUUCUGUUUAUGUGGUGAGUCACAUUUGUUGACUUGAAUAUGUUGAACCAACUUUGCAGCUCAGGAAUAAAGCCCACUUAAUCAUGGUGAAUUAACUUUUUGAUGUGUUCCUGGAUUCACCUGGCUAGUUUGUUGAGGACUUUUGCAUCUAUGUUCAUGAGAGAUAUUGGCCUGUAGUUUUCUUUUUUGUCGUUGUUGUUGUUGGUGUGUCUUUGCCAGAUUUUGGUGUCAGGAUGAUACUGGUUUCAUAGAAUGAGUUAGGGAGGAAUCUCUCUUCCUCAGUUUUUUGGAAUAGUUUCAGUAGGAUUGGUACUAGCUCUUCUUUGUAUGUCUGACCACCUACUCUUCAGUCAUUUAAUUUAUAAAUUUAUUUUAGUGUUCCACAGAACAUUAGUUUCAUAAGAUGUUAAAUAACAUUCUACAAAAAAAAAUAGUGUUUUGUGGCCAAAUAAGUUUGGAGAAUAUGGCAUACUACCAUUCCCAUCGUGGCAAUUCAUGAUGAACAUGAAGCAUUAAGAAAUCCUGCAGUAAUGCAACCUGUUUGUUUAACCCAGCAUUCCAGUAUUCCCCAAUUCUUUGUGGAAAGUCUUUAAAUAUCUUGUUUCCAUGCAUAGUUUGGAACAUUGUUUGUAUAGGAUAUAAGAUAAGAAACAAACUCAUUUUUCUCCCAAGCAGUCAGUUUUCCUAUCAACAUUUGUUGAAGAUCUCUUCCUUCCCUGCUUGUUUCUGGGACUUCCUUAAUCAUAUAUUAAAUUCUUAAAUAUCCUGGGAUCUAGUCUGGAGCUGACUCUUGACUCUUUGGCUUUAUUUCUUUAUUUUUUUUGAGAUAGGGGCCUCUGCCAGUAUUUUUGAGGGAGGCUUAUUUGAAUGCAGAAUAAUCACCCAUGCACAUCUGAUGGUCAAAUGUAAGCACUCCAACACUAAAAUUGAGGCCAAGUGAGUUAUCAGUCAUAGAGUCCUACUGAAGAAAUUUUGAGUGGGAAGUCACACUUGCAGGGGUAUUCAGAAUUUGUCAGUGCUUGGCCACAUCAUUAGCAGCUUAAAAGAGCAAGAGCUGCAUUCUCCCUACCCUUCUUUUCCAAUUGAUAAAAGUGACAGUAGUUAGCAUCCUGAGGUUAGUCAUGGCAUAAUUUUGAGUCAGAUCCUUCUGGAAACUUGUCCUUACUUCCUUUCCUUCAUAAUACUCUAGCUUCAUGAGGCCAUUUAGUAAAAUUAAACCUGAACUACUAGAAAUUAUAGACUUAAUCACAUUUCAUCCUGAGUUGUAAUUUUUUAUUCAUCCAUUUCUGCUGGCCUGGAGCUGGCAGUAAGCAGAUAAGUUUUUGUUUGCAAUUGUGAGACCAUGCAUUUUUUUUGCUCAGAAUAUCACAGUUGUUGUUAGCUCACAUGGACUCCAAAAUCCCAUACUUUAGCUACUUAGAGGAUGUUCAGCCUUUCUAUUCUGUGAUCCUGUGAUACAGUAUAUGUGGAAGUGUGCCAGUUUUCCUGGGGAAGGAAAAAAAUUAAGCAGCAAACACAAACUUUUUUUAAUAUAUAAAAGCAUGUAUGGAUGGAAAAACUCCAAGAUAUUAAUAAUGGCUAUAGACACAUGGUGGGAUGUUGCUGGGUGUUCUCUCUUCCAGAUAGCUUUGCACCCUGUGCUGGGCCCUGGAGAACGAUCCAUGAAGACUGUAUCCUUGGGUUUGCUCCCCGGCCGUAUGCUUUCUGGUUAGAUUCAGCCAGUGGAGAGAGGGAGGAGAGUGGAGUUGGGGUAUCUAUUCCUCUGGCGCCAUACUUACAGAAUUGUCUUGGGCUGGCUGAAUCCCUCAACUGACAGUCAAAACUUGUCUUAGCAUACUCAGGAUGCUUAAGAAAUUAUCAUAGACUGGGUAGUUUAUAAGCAAUGGAAAUUUAUUUCUCACAUUCAGAGGGUGGAAGUCUGAGAUCAGGGUGCCAGCACGGUCGGGUACUAGUGAGGACCCUCUUCCAGGUUGCAGACUGCCAUCUUCUCAUUGUAUCCUUACAUGGGGAAAGAGGGCAGGAGAGCUCCCUGGGGUGCCUUUUAUAAGGGCACUAAUACCAUCAUGCAGGCGAUCAGUGCAUAAUACAGCUCCUCUCCCACUGUUUCUAGCCCCAGGAUACUUCCUUAUUCCUGUUGAUUUCUUUUUCACCUUUCUAAAGAUACUAGUGAUCACUGCCCAAAUAGCUCACAGUUAAUAGUAGGAUCUGGGUGCUCAAUUAAAGAAAUGUUGGUUGCUGUUAAUUACCCCUUGGCUAAGCAGGUGUGUACUCACAUAUUGUUU